GUUUAAGCAUAUCACUAAGCGGAGGAAAAGAAACUAACGAGGAUUUCCUUAGUAACGGCGAGCGAAC
rnacentral:rRNA from 1 species